rnacentral:rRNA from 1 species
GAUGAACGCUGGCGGCGUGCCUAAUACAUGCAAGUCGAGCGAACAGACGAGGAUCUUGCUCCUCUGACGUUAGCGGCGGACGGGUGAGUAACACGUGGAUAACCUACCUAUAAGACUGGGAUAACUUCGGGAAACCGGAGCUAAUACCGGAUAAUAUAUUGAACCGCAUGGUUCAAUAGUGAACGACGGUUUUGCUGUCACUUAUAGAUGGAUCCGCGCCGCAUUAGCUAGUUGGUAAGGUAACGGCUUACCAAGGCAACGAUGCGUAGCCGACCUGAGAGGAUGAUCGGCCACACUGGAACUGAGACACGGCCCAGACUCCUACGGGAGGCAGCAGUAGGGAAUCUUCCGCAAUGGGCGAAAGCUUGACGGAGCAACGCCGCGUGAGUGAUGAAGGCCUUCGGAUCGUAAAACUCUGUUAGCAGGGAAGAACAAAUGUGUAAGUAACUAUGCACGUCUUGACGGUACCUAAUCAGAAAGCCACGGCUAACUACGUG